rnacentral:rRNA from 1 species
CACGUAGGGCGCGAGCGUUGUCCGGAAUUAUUGGGCGUAAAGAGCUCGUAGGCGGCCUUUUGCGUCCGCUGUGAAAGCCCGGGGCUUAACCCCGGGUCGGCAGUGGAUACGGGCAGGCUAGAGUUAGGUAGGGGAGAAUGGAAUUCCCGGUGUAGCGGUGAAAUGCGCAGAUAUCGGGAGGAACACCGGUGGCGAAGGCGGUUCUCUGGGCCGUACCUGACGCUGAGGAGCGAAAGCGUGGGGAGCGAACAGG